rnacentral:rRNA from 1 species
AUUGAACGCUGGCGGCAUGCCUUACACAUGCAAGUCGAACGGCAGCACGGGGGCAACCCUGGUGGCGAGCGGCGAACGGGUGAGUAAUGCAUCGGAACGUGUCCUCUUGUGGGGGAUAACCAGUCGAAAGACUGGCUAAUACCGCAUGAGAUCGAAAGAUGAAAGCGGGGGACCGCAAGGCCUCGCGCGAGAGGAGCGGCCGAUGCCGGAUUAGCUAGUUGGUGGGGUAAUGGCCCACCAAGGCGACGAUCCGUAGCUGGUCUGAGAGGACGACCAGCCACACUGGGACUGAGACACGGGCCCCAGACUCCUACGGGAGGCAGCAGUGGGGAAUCUUGGACAAUGGGCGCAAGCCUGAUCCAGCCAUGCCGCGUGUGUGAAGAAGGCCUCGGGUUGUAAAGCACUUUCGGACGGAACGAAAUCGCGCGCAUGAACAAUGCGCGUGGAUGACGGUACCGUAAGAAGAAGCACCGGCUAACUACGUGCCAGCAGCCGCGGUAAUACGUAGGGUGCAAGCGUUAAUCGGAAUUACUGGGCGUAAAGGGUGCGCAGGCGGCCCCGCAUGUCAGGCGUGAAACUCCCCGGGCUCAACCUGGGGAAUGGCGCUUGAAACUACGGGGCUGGAGUGUGGCAGAGGGAGGUGGAAUUCCACGUGUAGCGGUGAAAU